UGGCGGACGGGUGAGUAACGCGUAGGGAUUUAUCGUUGGGUGGGGGAUAACCUUGGGAAACUGGGGCUAAUACCGCAUGACGCCUGUGGGCCAAAGUUCGCGAGGGCGCCUGAUGAGGAACCUGCGUUCGAUUAGCUAGUUGGUGGGGUAAAGGCCUACCAAGGCGACGAUCGAUAGCUGGUCUGAGAGGAUGAUCAGCCACACUGGGACUGAGACACGGCCCAG
rnacentral:rRNA from 1 species